rnacentral:lncRNA from 1 species
GGGACCGCAUUAAACACAAUUGUCGGCUGUGGCAGCACUGUCGCAAGUGUUACAUGCAUGAGGUACAGUGUACUAGACAUGAGGGCAAGUGUGAGGCCAUUCACGGCUGCUCAGUCCGAAUUGUUAGUUGUCGGAGCCUUUCCACCGUGACCAGUGAGUCAAGUUGCUUACCCAAGGAUUUGACUCCCUGACAGCGUGUAAUCGAAACAUCGUGUGCUGCGUAACACCGUGAUGACAGCCGGUUGAAUAUUGAUCACGGCGCAGCUUCGCCGCUGGGCGUGGUAUAGAUGUCAUGGAACGCGCCUUAUCCCGUGCGUCGGGCAGUACCAGGAAUGCUCACGUCUAUCUUGCUAAUGUCGACUGCUGACUAUCUAACGCUUCCAUCAACCACCAACCUUGUUCACCUGCGCUUCUGGAAGUUCAUAGUCCCCAGUGAUUCUGUUGAAGUAAAAACUCUCUGGAAGUCGAUCGAUAAAGCGUGCCCUGUUUUUCUACCCGGACAUUGCACGGCUUCUACGAAACGCUCUUGGAGGUCAUGCCUUUGUUUGAAGUUCCUGUUUCCUACGUCAACUGCUCACUUGAGGUCCCAACAUUGUAGCCUUCGCGUUUUUCUGGAGGAUGAAUACAAAUGCCAAGUACCAAAUUCGCGAUGCUUUUUAUUCGUUAACUGUUCUUUGUCAUUUGCCGGACGCCUUCCUUCAUAUUUUCAGAAUGAAGAUCAGCUCGAAUUUUCUCUUAAAGGGGACACUAAAGUGAAGGAAUGAGUGAGUUUAGACUGAUAAAUUGUACCCUGAAAA